rnacentral:tRNA from 1 species
GCCUGGGUGGCUCAAUCGGUUAAAGCAUCAGACUUCAGCUUACGUCAUGAUCUCAUGGUUCGCGGGUUCGAGCCCCGCAUCAGGCU